rnacentral:misc_RNA from 1 species
GAUGAAGAACGUAGCGAAAUGCGAUAAGUAAUGUGAAUUGCAGAAUUCAGUGAAUCAUCGAAUCUUUGAACGCACAUUGCGCCCGCCAGUAUUCUGGCGGGCAUGCCUGUUCGAGCGUCAUUUCAACCAUCAAGCCCCAGGCUUGUGUUGGGGACCUGCGGCUGCCGCAGGCCCUGAAAACCAGUGGCGGGCUCGCUGUCACACCGGGCGUAGUAGAUUUUAUCUCGCUCAGGGCGUGCUGCGGGUCCCGGACGUUAAAAGCCUUUUUUUACCCAAGGUUGACCUCGGAUCAGGUAGGAAGACCCGCUGAACUUAAGCAUAUCAAUAAGCGGAGGA